AUUGAACGCUGGCGGCAGGCCUAACACAUGCAAGUCGAGCGGAGCGGCGGACGGGUGAGUAAUGCUUAUGAAUCUGCCUGGUCGUGGGGGAUGACGUUCGGAAAUGGGCGCUAUUACCGCAAACUAUCAGCUGAGCCUAGGUCGGAUUAGCUAGUUGGUGGGGUAAAGGCUUACCCAGGCGACGAUCCGUAACUGGUCUGAGAGGAUGAUCAGUCACACUGGAACUGAGACACGGUCCAGACUCCUACGGGAGGCAGCAGUGGGGAAUAUUGGACAAUGGGCGAAAGCCUGAUCCAGCCAUGCCGCGUGUAUGAAGAAGGCCUUCGGGUUGUAAAGCACUUUAAGUUGGGAGGCGUUACCAGCAGAAUAAGCACCGGCUAACUUCGUGCCAGCAGCCGCGGUAAUUC
rnacentral:rRNA from 1 species